CAGACACCAGGUUUCGGACUCUCCUUCUUCAGUUCAAGAGUGGGAGAUCCCAGUUCUCACUGAUGACAAGCCCUUUGGGUCCCAGGAGGGGCUGUAGCCCAGCAAAAAAGCAGCCUCCCAGGCGCCCGGACCUUGUUCCACUGUCUGGGGCUCAAAGUCUUCCGCACGUCCGCCCCCGCGAUCCAAGUCAUCCUCUACUAACCUUUGACUCCGUGGGCGCGGCCCGCCUGCAUGCCUAGGACCACCGUGGACAGCAGCCUGAGAACGAGAGAUAUGACCUCUUCCUCUCCUCCCCCGUGAUCUGUCUUACCAGCUUCCAGAAAAAAAAAAAAAAAAAAAAAAAUUCUCACUUUGGUAUCUUUGACACGUAGUUCCUCCUGGGUUAGCUUUCAAGAAGACCUCAGUGGUACCCCCAACUGGUUGAAAAAUGAUCCUAAACUGAUGCACGUCCUAAUUCCUGGAAACUGUGAAUGGUAGUCUAUAUGGCAAAUCCUUUACAUACGUGCUGUGCGGCCCGAGGCAAAUAGUGCAGGCUGUUUGAGCGUUGCCUUGGCCCUUACCUAACUCUGGCCUGGAGGUGCACAUCUGUAAUCCCAGCCCUGGGCAGGGGCGCGGGGGAGGGGGUCAGGCAGAUCUGGGAUUCAAGGUCGUCUCCACUAUGCAGCAAGUUAGGACUAUGUGAAACUCUGUCUCAAACAAAAUAGUAACAAUAAUAUUAAUUGGAAGGAAGAGGUUAAGCACGUCAUAAGUUAAGAGCCCCACAUAUCAAAAUGGUAAAUGCUGAAGAAAGCGGUGUUCAGAAUGCUGUCAGCAGAGAGAAGAUUCUGGCAGAGAGAAGGGCAUGUGGGAGGCUACUUCCUAGACCUCAGAAGCAGGGCCCUGUUAAAGGGAGGCAGACAGGCAGGGGUGUGGAUGCAUUUUAACAAAGAGAUAAAAGUCCAUGAAGUGGGAGGGAGUAGAGGCAUUGCUUAGCUUUUGCCUGACUCUACAAAGCCGUUAUAGCCACACUUGGUGGCUUAGACCUGUAAUCCUCACCAUUUAGGAAGCUGAGGCAAAGAGGAUGGACUGUUCAAAAACCGGUCUAGGUAAUUUAGUGAUU